rnacentral:rRNA from 1 species
CCUACGGGAGGCAGCAGUGAGGAAUUUUCCGCAAUGGGCGAAAGCCUGACGGAGCAAUGCCGCGUGGAGGAGGAAGGCCUGUGGGUCGUAAACUCCUUUUCUCAGAGAAGAAGUUCUGACGGUAUCUGAGGAAUAAGCAUCGGCUAACUCUGUGCCAGCAGCCGCGGUAAUACAGGGGAUGCAAGCGUUAUCCGGAAUUAUUGGGCGUAAAGCGUCCUGAGGUGGCUUACCCAGUCGACUGUGAAAGCUCAAGGCUUAACCUUGAAACGGCAGUCGAAACUUGUAAGCUUAAGUACGGUAGGGGCAGAGGGAAUUCCCGGAGGAGAGGUGAAAUUCGUAGAUAUCGGGAGGAAGGCCAAAGGCGAAAGCACUCUGCUGGGCCGAUUACUGACACUGACAGACGAAAGCUAGGGGAGCGAAAGGGAUUAGAUACCCCUGUAGUCCUAGCCGUAAACGAUGGAUACUAAGUGUUGCGCGACUCAAAACGUGCGAGNGNUGNANACUACGUACGGUAGUACUCCGUCCGUGGUAGUAGUCGCCGCGAGGUAGUAAACGUUAAGUAAGUAGUAGACGNGAGAGAGACGACGACGACGACGAGGAGGAG